AGGUCUGGGGCAGCUGGCCGUUCAUCAACAAUUUGGUCCCAACCCCUGACUGACUGGUGUCAGGAUUCACCAAGAAAUUUAAAGAAACAACAGCAGUGAGUCAUCUUGAGAAGUGAUUUAAUGCUGUCAUUCUUGACGCUAAGACUGAAUGGGGCUUUGGUCUCUGCAUUCCAGAGAGGUCGCUGUUGGUGGCCUGCACUGACCCAGCACCUCCUUCGUCCAGAAACUCCCUCAGCUUUUCACAUAUUGUUCUUCUUCAUCUUUUGCUGCAAGAGGCUGACUGACGCAAGACGGUCAGAACCUUUCUGCCAGGGUGGAUAUGUCCGACACUAGAGGGAACAGCUACAAGAGGCCAGAUUGACUGUGAACAGGGUGUGCUGCCAAAUGAAAGGAGAUGAGAAGGGCGACUUAGAUGAGGAUGCUGCCUUGGCAAGGCUGCCAGCAUAAUCAAGGGCUAUGCUCACCCCAGCCGUUCCAUCUUCUUUCCUCUCCCAUCAGGCAAGAGGUCCAGAAGUUUGAAAAAGCAUACCAACAGAUUCAGGAACAGUUUCUUUGCAGCAAGCUCACUAGCUAGAGUGCAGCCCCGAGCUCCCAUCUACCUCAUUGGAGAUCUUUGAACUAUUUUUAUUCAGACUUUAUUGGACUUUAUCUUGUACUAAAUAUUGUACCAUUUAUCCGUUAUAUGUACACUGUGGAUGGCUUGAUUACAUUAAUGUAUCAUCUUUACUUUGACUGGAUAGCAUGCAACAAAGAACUUUUCACUGUACCUUGUGCACAUGACAAUAAUAUACAAAACUAAACAAACGCUUCAUCUCAAGAACCUGUCCUUCAGCAAAGACAGAUGUUGUUGCUAAAAUUCACUUUGGAUGCAAUAUGUCGGCAUAGGUUUUGGCCAUCUGUGGAAAAGAGUGUUUGAAGUUUAAGACCUCAAACCCACCACAAAUCUAAUGUCCUCUGAUGUGCUUUUGAGACUUGGGCUAUCUACAUCUAGCACUGAAAGGCAUCAGAUAGAUCCUACCAGAAGUGCCACUUCCAAAUCCCCCAAAUCCACUGAAAGGAUUUAGGAAACCAAUGUCAAAAGCCCUUACCAGUUAGAGAUCUGCUGCUCUGAGACCUAUUCACAUUAAAUCAGCUCUGUUGGACAGGCCCUACUGUUCAGGCACAAAGUGCUGGAGUAACUCAGUGGAUCAGUCGACAUCAUUGGAGAACAUGGAUAGGUGACGUUUCGCAUCAGGGAUCUUCUUCAGACUGAAGAUAGGUCCCGACCCCAAUCCUCACCUAUCCAUGUUCUCCAAGGAUGCUGCCUGACAUGUUAAGUUACCCCAGCACUUAGUGUCUUCUAUUAUAAACCAACAUCUCCAGUUCCUUGCAUCCACAGGCGAUAUUGGUCACAUGUUCAAUUAGAGAUUGUCCAACCGGACGCUCGAUUCUGAGCGCUGUCACAGGGAGAGAGCCAGAAAAGGAAAAGACAUCACACAAUGCUAAAGUAACUUGGCAGGACAGGUAGCAGUUCUGGAGAACAUGGAUAGGUGUAACAACCAUAUAAAGAUAUAACAACUGACAACUGAAUCUCUUGAAAAUAAACUUUACUUCUCUGAGAAAUUACUUACCAUCUGGAGGAAAAUAGAAAUAGUAUUAUAAAAGGUGACACAAGAACCUGUAGAUGCUGGAAUCUUGAGCAAAACAAAAGGUGUUGAAGGAACUCAAUGGGUCAGAUGGCAUCUGUGGAGGGAAUGGACAGACAAUGUUUUGUAUCCAUCUUUCUUUAGACUGAUUGCAGGAGGGGAAGAAAGCUGGAAGAGUGGAGGGGAUAUAACAACGUCUCGGAAGUAAUUGGUGGAUACAGGUGAAGGGGGGUUGAUUGGCAGAUGGUUGAAUAGAGGCCAGAGAUGAAGAGACAAAAAGACAAAAUGAUUCAAGCUCAUGGUCUAAGCCUCUUUAAAAAUGGGCUGACAUCUCCACUGACAUGUUGGAAUCACUAGAGGAUGGCCGCUCAAUGGGCAGUAGGAUAUUUGGGAGAGCACUACAUACCUCAGGUCCAUGCAUCUGCAGCACACAGGAACUGGCACCAACAGUGGCAGGAGCACAUCGCCACACAAACUGCUCACCCCUCCACACCUCCUGCCCUAUCUGUGCCAGAGUCUGUUGUUCCCAUCUGCGCCUUGUCAGUCACACCAGAAAGCAUAGAACAGGAGUGGAAGCAAGUCAUCCUUGAUCCCACGCAAUUGUCUGUGAAGAAAGAGAAGAUGGAGAAAACGAAAAAAUAAAGUUCGGUUUUUGGACUGCCAUGGUACAAAACUGUUACAUUGCCUAACCAUACAUUUCCAGUCAGCAAUAUAGUUAUUCAGCCUGUUUACUAACCUGAGUAGAGGAAGUCCAAUGCAAAGUCUAUCAUGCAAUCAAACAAUUUCCUGUUCAAUGGCAUUGAAGCAAUCCAGGCACACAGCAUAUAGAAACGAAUGCAUAAGAGGCUUAAGUAUUCAGAAAUUACAAACAAGAUUAUGGGGACCUGAAUACCAAAUAAGGGGCUUAUGCUUCAGAUAUAUAUGGCAGUGGUGAGAUCACAUUUGGAGUACUGUGUACAGAAUUAAUACUUACUUAAGGAAGGACGUCAUGCUUUAGAGGCAAUUCAAAGAAGAUUUACUAGGCUAAUACCUGGAAUGGGUGCGUUAUCUUAUGAGGCAAAAUUGCACAGGUUAGAAUUGUAUUCUAUGGAGUUUAGAGGAGUGAAAGUUGUCCUCAUUUAAAUAUACCUGUUGUAAAAGCGUCGCUGAAAAUCUGUCCUAGCCCGUGUGCGCGAUUUUGGCGCCGUUUAGAGGGGGGCGGGUUUAAAACGGGAUUUUCCCUAGGCUGUUCAAAUCGAGGAUGUUCAGCCUAGUUAAUUAUUAAUGAAAAAUCGCUGGAAGAGUCCGUCGCUUGAGCUAUUUUUAGUUUUAAGGGGCUUAUUUACUUGUUAUAGUAGGUUAAAAUCUAACCUCUAAACCCGCGACCGCCGACAACGGGCCGGAUCUCAUACAGGGGACAACGGGAGGUAGGUUGGUUAUUUUUACGUUAAAAAGGGCUUCUUAAGAUCCCUUUAUAAAAAAAAUUAUGUUGCGAGUGGCUAAUUUGAGGCCCAUUAUAUCCCGCAGUAUUUUUCUGGGCAUUUGGGGCACAAAUCCACCACAAUGUGAACAUUCUAAACCAGUGCGUUCCACAGGGAAAGCUGAUUUAAAUGCCAUUAAUUUACAGCAAUUGAACACUAAAUUCCU